UCCUACGGGACGCAGCAGUGGGGAAUAUUGCACAAUGGGGGGAACCCUGAUGCAGCGACGCCGCGUGAAGGAAGAAGUAUCUCGGUAUGUAAACUUCUAUCAGCAGGGAAGAAAAUGACGGUACCUGACUAAGAAGCCCCGGCUAACUACGUGCCAGCAGCCGCGGUAAUACGUAGGGGGCAAGCGUUAUCCGGAUUUACUGGGUGUAAAGGGUGCGUAGGCGGCUUCUUAAGUCUGUAGUCUAAGCCCGGAGCUUAACUCCGGUUCGCUACAGAAACUGAUUAGCUUGAGUAUGGUAGAGGCAA
rnacentral:rRNA from 1 species